rnacentral:rRNA from 1 species
CCUACGGGUGGCUGCAGUGAGGAAUAUUGGUCAAUGGACGAGAGUCUGAACCAGCCAAGUAGCGUGAAGGAUGACUGCCCUAUGGGUUGUAAACUUCUUUUAUCUGGGAAUAAAAUGUUCCACGUGUGGGAUUUUGUAUGUCCCAUAUGAUUAAGGAUCGGCUAACUCCGUGCCAGCAGCCGCGGUAAUACGGAGGUUCCGAGCGUUAUCCGAAUUUAUUGGGUUUAAAGGGCGCGUAGGUGGAUUGUUAAGUCCGUUGUGAAAGUUUGCGCCUAAACCGUAAAAUUGCAGUUGAAACUGGCAGUCUUGAGUACAGUAGAGGUGGGAGGAAUUCGUGGUGUAGCGGUGAAAUGCUUAGAUAUCACGAAGAACUCCGAUUGCGAAGGCAGCUCACUGGACUGCAACUGACACUGAGGCUCGAAAGUGUGGGUAUCAAACAGGAUUAGAUACCCUUGUAGUC